rnacentral:rRNA from 1 species
ACGGAGGGUGCAAGCGUUAAUCGGAAUUACUGGGCGUAAAGCGCGCGUAGGUGGUUUGAUAAGCGAGAUGUGAAAGCCCCGGGCUUAACCUGGGAACGGCAUUUCGAACUGUCAGGCUAGAGUAUGGUAGAGGUAGUGGAAUUUCCUGUGUAGCGGUGAAAUGCGUAGAUAUAGGAGGAACACCAGUGGCGAAGGCGGCACUCUGGACCAAUACUGACACUGAGGUGCGAAAGCGUGGGGAGCAAACAGGAUGAUACCCCGUAGUCC